CUAGAAGAGCCCAAUGCAGAACCCAGUCAUCCAAAGAAUAAGUGGCUAUGAUUAUUUUGUAGGAAGAGUUAGCAAGAUCUAUCAGGUUUUUAAUUGACCAUUCCCUUUUAUCUAGCAAUUAUUCCAAUUCUAGGCAUUUAACCUGUAUAAAUAUCACUCAUGUGCAGAGAUAAAAGUCCAAGGGUGUUCACUGCGGUAUUCAUUUAAUGAUGGAAUAUAAAAGCAAUCUGAACACUUAUUAAUAGGGACUGGUUAAAUAAAUUAGGGCCCUCGGCGGCAUGGAAGCUUGGGCAAACUUUAGCAAGAGGGAGGGAGCUCUGCACAUAAAGAAAGCAGAGUGGUUUCCAUUGUGAAACCGAAGUUGCAAAGGCAGCCUUGCCAGCGUCACGUAGAAUGUGUUGAUCUUGCAAAGGCACAUCUCCAUUCAUGUAAAUGCCUAUUGCUGGAAUGGGUGUGUGUGUGUGUGUAUUUAUACAUGUGCGCCACACCUGGAAGACCGUUUCAAACAGUGAUACUCCCAACAAGGACUGUCGUGGGAGGGGUAAUGAGGAAAUUCCACCCUUCACUCUGCACAUUUCUGUGUUAUUUCAAUUGUGUUGCAAACCUAGGCUGGUUUUGCACUGUGUCACUCUUGAUCUGGAGGACACAGUCAAGGAACUUCAGAGCGUCUCUGAACAGCUAACCGUUAGUCUAAAAUGUCUAAAAUGUCUUUGUCCGGGGCUGGCACUUAAAUGGGCCUGCAUCUUCUCCAAGCAUGUAACAUGGGCAAUGAGAAGGGUGACACGGCCCAAAUUCUGCUCCUUGGCAGGAAACUGUGUUUUUCUUUCUGGGAAUUUGUGUGUGCUCUGCACAUCCUUGGUUCUCUGGAAUUCCGGCUCCUCGUGCCCUGGCUGGCUGUUCUCUCCUCCUUUCUCCUAUUCCACAGUGAAUUCUUUCAGGAUCGUGGCUCAUGUUUUCUGCAUUUCCUUCUCUACCUUUCUGCUCUUCUCUCCUCCCAGAAUGCUUUCCCGAGAUGUCAAUCUGUGCAUUCCUCCCCCGGGCUGCUUAGCUCCUCUCACACCUUUCUUCUGAGCUCUGGAAUUCCUGAAGCCCUAGCUCUGACCAUUCUGCUCUUCCGCCCAUGCAUUCAGCUCAGUGUUUCCAGAAUCCCGUUCCUCACCUCUCAGCUCCUUGGCAGUGUGUUCCCGUCAGGGGUGCCUAUUUCCCCUGCACCUCCAGGGGCCAGGGCUGCGGGCUGCUCCGUGCGUUUGCCAGGCCAUGGUUGCUCUGCGAGCCCUCGGUUCUUCUGCUGCCUUUGGGGUUUGUGUGCUGAGACUGCCUGCCCCUCUCUGUGCUCCCAGCUCCCUGGUCCCCUUCCUGGGCCACAUACCGAUGCAUGACCUGCAGUGGGGAGGGGCAGGCCUGCUGCCCACCAGGGCCCUUGUGCCCCCAGAGCCUGCAGUAACUAGUUUGGCCUCAGGAAAAUGCCAUUCCCAGGCAACACUCUUAAUUCCAAGCCUGAAUGAAUCCCCUGGCGAAGCCCCCUGCACAGCCCUCCUGGUCUCUGACUUUCUUGCUCUGGUCACCCCAGCUCUGUUCCUCGGAAACGCUGAUUCCAUUUGUUUUCUGUCUGCAAGGUGUUGUUGGCCCUCUGCUGUAGCUUUAGCUUUUUUUGAUUUUUGGUUUUUCUGUGUUAUUUGGGAUGGGAUUUGACAAGAAAAACAAAUGAUGUUCCUGUAUCAUACAUCUUCCCCAAUUUAAGGAACGCCAGAAAUUGUGCAAAGUCACCAUCAACCAAUGCCAAAGCUGACUCCGGUAGAGAGCCUCCCAGUGUGGGGGUCAUGGGCACAGACAGCCCAGGCCUCCGUUCACCAGCUGAACUGAGCUUUCUGGUUGGAUCUGGAGAAAUAAGUCAGUGUAAGUAAAUACAGAUGUUGAAUAUCUGGUCACCGACACCUUACAGCAAAUUUGGUGAUGACAUGCC
rnacentral:lncRNA from 1 species